GUCUGCUACAAAAGGGACUCAGCAUGCAUUUCCAAGCAGUUCCAAAGAAAUGCAGGAGAAACCAGGGUUGCUUUAGCAGAAUGGCAUUGGGGCAUACAUCCGGAAGAACUACUUAACUGCUCUUGCAGGGAAGUACAGGACAAGGAGAGAAGUUCUAAAUAAGUUAUUAGGAGGAAGGAAAAGAUUUCAAAAGUACAGAGGAAUGAAACUGAAUGAAUGGAGAAUGCUGAAUUUAGGGAAAUCCCACUAUUAGAAAGGACAGAGCAUGGAGACAUUGUGAAGCAGUGAAGCUGUCAACCGCAGAAUAAUUAACAGACAGGAGAUAAAUGGUUUUGGAAACAAAAAAAAAAGAGGUCACUAAUAAGUAUAUUGUUAUUUCUAGUCAUCAACAGCCCUAAACAAAAUCAAUGGUUAGAUUGUCAGUCUCUCAGGGAAAACAUCCUGGAAGAAAGGCCUCUCUGUAGGUCUCCAAGGUUGCUUUGAAUUAUCCCUAAUACUCCACCACAAUUUGGACGAUGGAGACCUGAGUUCAUGCACAGAACAAGAUUCAAGAGGAAGACUCCAAUAGCUUAUGAGGAAAGUAGCAGAAGCACAUAUAAGAAGACGGCAUCGGAACAGAGGAUUCUCUUCCUAAAACCUUUUUCCAACCCUUCUGAUUCAAGUCUCCUAGCAGCAAAGUUAGCCAUGAAGUAGCUCCUUUCAUGAUUGCAAGGAUGUUUGCAUUUUGAGAUGGAAAGCUGAUAUGUAUACACUCUUAAAAAUCAAUCAUGCAACAUUUUACAGCCAGUGCAUUUUGGUAAAUUUCAGUUCUUGUACAUUACAGGCAUGAGCUCUUGAAGACGGCACAGGCAGAAUGACCUCGAGUUCAGACUGGCCACUUGCAGGCACAAACUGAGUCCUGCUCUGGCUGGUCAAAGGGAACCAUGGCUGUCUUCCUUGAAGGUUUGGUCCCCUUUAACCAGCUACAGCAGUCCUGAAAUCAGUCAUCUAUUUGCAACCUACUUGUAUUUUAAUCAGCCACCAAAGGAUUUCCUCUGUAAUCUGCUACUGGUUUCACUCUAUUUUUAUGAAGCUGUUGUCACCAAAAUGUGGGGCAGAUGAAUGACAAAUACGGCUGGAUAUGUUCUAGUUUCUGCCUCGAGAGGAAGUUUAUUUCUUAUGAUCCAAUAAGGAGAACGAACCAACAUUAUUCCUACAUAUACAUUCAUUCCUAAUAUAAUGUUGAUCAACUUUUAAAUGCAAGUCGGACAUAAAGUGAACAACAGAUCUA